rnacentral:rRNA from 1 species
UGCAAGUCGAGUGCGCGCUUGUAGCAAUACAGGUUGGCGCACGGCGCACGGGUGCGUAACACGUGGGUAAUCUGCCCUUCGAUGGGGAAUAACUCGCCGAAAGGCGAGCUAAUUCCGCAUAACAUUCCGGGAACUCCGGUUUCUGGAUUCAAAGGCGUAAGUCGUCGGAGGAGGAGCCCGCGCACGAUUAGCUAGUUGGUAGGGUAACGGCCUACCAAGGCUUUGAUCGUUAGCUGGUCUGAGAGGAUGGCCAGCCACACUGGAACUGAGACACGGUCCAGACUCCUACGGGAGGCAGCAGUGGGGAAUCUUGCACAAUGGGCGAAAGCCUGAUGCAGCGACGCCGCGUGGGGGAUGAAGCUUCUCGGAGUGUAAACCCCUUUCGACCCGGACGAAUGCCCCGCAAGGGGACUGACGGUACGGGUAUAAGAAGCCCCGGCUAACUACGUGCCAGCAGCCGCGGUAAGACGUAGGGGGCCAGCGUUGUUCGGAAUUACUGGGUGUAAAGGGUUCGUAGGCGGUGUGGCAAGUCGGGAGUGAAAUUUCUGGGCUCAACUCAGAGACUGCUUCCGAAACUGCUGUGCUGGAGUGUGGGAGAGGCGCGUGGAAUUGCAGGUGUAGCGGUGAAAUGCGUAGAUAUCUGCAGGAACACCCGUGGCGAAAGCGGCGCGCUGGACCACUACUGACGCUGAGGAACGAAAGCUAGGGGAGCAAACAGGAUUAGAUACCCUGGUAGUCCUAGCCCUAAACGAUCAGGAACUUGGGGUGCCACCCGUUCGGGUGUCGUCCCGGAGCUNACGCGUUAAGUCCUGCACCUGGGGAGUACGGUCGCAAGACUGAAACUCAAAGG